AACGAACGCUGGCGGCAUGCCUAACACAUGCAAGUCGAACGAGACCUUCGGGUCUAGUGGCGCACGGGUGCGUAACGCGUGGGAACCUGCACUUAGGUUCGGAAUACCUCCCCGAAAGGGGUGCUAAUACCGGAUAAUGUCUUCGGACCAAAGAUUUAUCGCCUUUGGAUGGGCCCGCGUUGGAUUAGCUAGUUGGUAGGGUAAAAGCCUACCAAGGCGACGAUCCAUAGCUGGUCUGAGAGGAUGAUCAGCCACACUGGGACUGGGACACGGCCCAGAAUCCUAGGGGAGGGGGGAGAGGGGAAUAUUGGACAAUGGGCGAAGGCCUGAACCAGCAAUGCCGCGUAAGUGAUGAAGGCCGUAGGGAUGUAAAGCUCUUUUACCCGGGAUGAUAAUGACAGUACCGGGAGAAUAAGCACCGGCUAACUCCGUG
rnacentral:rRNA from 1 species